AGAGUUGAUCCUGGCUCAGGAUGAACGCUGGCGGCGUGCCUAACACAUGCAAGUCGAACGGAGUUGUUCCACCCGACAGAAUAUCUUCGGAUAUGAAGUCAUCGGAAACGCUUAGUGGCGGACGGGUGAGUAACGCGUGGACAACCUGCCCUGCACAGGGGGAUAGCGGUUGGAAACGACCGGUAAUACCGCAUACCUUACAUUUGCCGCAUGACAGAUGUAAGAAAACGAUUUAGUGGUGCAGGAUGGGCCCGCGUCCGAUUAGCUAGUUGGUGGGGUAACGGCCUACCAAGGCGACGAUCGGUAGCCGACCUGAGAGGGCGGACGGCCACAUUGGGACUGAGACACGGCCCAGACUCCUACGGGAGGCAGCAGUGGGGAAUAUUGCACAAUGGGGGAAACCCUGAUGCAAGCGACGCCGCGUGAGUGAAGAAGUAUUUCGGUAUGUAAAGCUCUAUCAGCAGGGAAGAUAAUGACGGUACCUGACUAAGAAGCCCCGGCUAAAUACGUGCCAGCAGCCGC
rnacentral:rRNA from 1 species